UGAAAGAAAUUCCAUAGUGGGUUACAACAGAGAGCUAUCAGGUCAGAGUAGACAUGCUUCCUUUCCCAAAUACACAUACAGGUUCUAUCUGUUUGGAUUGGCUGUGAUCCAUACACACAGGAUGAAGAGAUCAGGCAGGCAGGAGUCAUGUGGUAGCAAGACCUUUGUUUCUGGUCCCUCCAUAUUACAACUUCAACCAUCUAGGCCUGAUUUGGAAAGAACAAUGUUCUGUGGACAUGGAGAACCAUUCUGAGUCAUGAACAUCUGAUUCUAGUCGGUACCCAGUGAAUAUUAUUAUCAGGAUGGGCCCAAAAUAAAAUGGUCAUUUGGAUGAAGUUUUCCCCCA
rnacentral:lncRNA from 1 species